AUAAGGUGCCAGUCGACAAAACUUCCUUCAUUUCCUCUUGUUGUUGCAGUAUGGGAGCAGGGGCAACCACCAACCAGCUUAAGGACAGUGGGGCUAAAAGGUGAAAGCCACGUUCGGCUGAACUUCAGGCUUGAUCAAAAGGAAUGCGACCUGGGCUUGGGAAGGCAGCAGAGCUUAUCUGCCCAGCAGUGAGGCUUUGGAGGAGAAGAGCCAGGCACCAGAUAGCUUCAGGUUCCAGAGGCGUGGGUAGCCAGCUGCAGAGCUGUUCUGGAUGCUGAUUGGAAAGAAGGAAGCCGGGUUUGGAUUAAAGAGCAGCGGACCUGGAGCCAGAUCAACCGGACCAGGCAGGCACCACGGCGGCUGCUGUGAUCGCCCAGGAGGAGAGGAACGACAGCCGGGACAAGAGCCAUGCUGGCACAGCUUGGACGUAAGGCUGCUCCUGGCUUAUGUCUGGCCUGGACGAAAUGGGACUCUGUUAUAUACUAUACUAUACUGUUAUACAUCUUUACAGAGACCUGCUCCAUCAACAUCCCGGAUCAAGCACUCGACGGGCGGACCGUAUUCCGAGCUGACAGAGCGCAAGACUCCAGCAAGAUGAAAGGAGGAAGACUCUGUGUUUACAUCGAUGCUCGGUGCACAAACGCAGGCAAAGUGAAUGGACAGUGUCUCACAAAUGUCGAACUUUUUAUGUGAAGAUAAAUAGCAUAUUAUCAUGGCUAUCUGCUGUUUACAUUCCACCAGAUGCAAAUUAAAAAAAUGCGCUGCAGAAUUAUUUCCUGGG